rnacentral:rRNA from 1 species
GUGGGGAAUAUUGGACAAUGGGCGAAAGCCUGAUCCAGCAAUGCCGCGUGAGUGAUGAAGGCCCUAGGGUUGUAAAGCUCUUUUACCCGGGAUGAUAAUGACAGUACCGGGAGAAUAAGUUCCGGCUAACUCCGUGCCAGCAGCCGCGGUAAUACGGAGGGAGCUAGCGUUGUUCGGAAUUACUGGGCGUAAAGCGCGCGUAGGCGGUUUUCCAAGUCAGGGGUGAAAGCCCGGGGCUCAACCCCGGAAUAGCCCUUGAAACUGGAAGACUAGAAUCUUGGAGAGGUCAGUGGAAUUCCGAGUGUAGAGGUGAAAUUCGUAGAUAUUCGGAAGAACACCAGUGGCGAAGGCGACUGACUGGACAAGUAUUGACGCUGAGGCGCGAAAGCGUGGGGAGCAAACAGGAUUAGAUACCCUAGUAGUCC